AGAGUUUGAUCCUGGCUCAGGGCGAACGCUGGCGGCGUGCUUAACACAUGCAAGUCGAACGGAAAGGCCCUUCGGGGUACUCGAGUGGCGAACGGGUGAGUAACACGUGGGUGAUCUGCCCUGCACUUUGGGAUAAGCCUGGGAAACUGGGUCUAAUACCGAAUAUGACCAUGCACUUCCUGGUGUGUGGUGGAAAGCUUUUGCGGUGUGGGAUGGGCCCGCGGCCUAUCAGCUUGUUGGUGGGGUAAUGGCCUACCAAGGCGACGACGGGUAGCCGGCCUGAGAGGGUGACCGGCCACACUGGGACUGAGAUACGGCCCAGACUCCUACGGGAGGCAGCAGUGGGGAAUAUUGCACAAUGGGCGCAAGCCUGAUGCAGCGACGCCGCGUGAGGGAUGACGGCCUUCGGGUUGUAAACCUCUUUCAGCACAGACGAAGCGCAAGUGACGGUAUGUGCAGAAGAAGGACCGGCCAACUACGUGCCAGCAGCCGCGGUAAUACGUAGGGUCCGAGCGUUGUCCGGAAUUACUGGGCGUAAAGAGCUCGUAGGUGGUUUGUCGCGUUGUUCGUGAAAACUCACAGCUUAACUGUGGGCGUGCGGGCGAUACGGGCAGACUUGAGUACUGCAGGGGAGACUGGAAUUCCUGGUGUAGCGGUGGAAUGCGCAGAUAUCAGGAGGAACACCGGUGGCGAAGGCGGGUCUCUGGGCAGUAACUGACGCUGAGGAGCGAAAGCGUGGGGAGCGAACAGGAUUAGAUACCCUGGUAGUCC
rnacentral:rRNA from 1 species